rnacentral:lncRNA from 1 species
AUGUGCAACGAGGGACCCCAGUAUUUCCUCCCAACUUUACCGUGUGCUCUUUCGCCCCGGCUACUUCUUGAGGGGGGAGCGAAGAAAAAAAAAAAAAAAAAAAAAAAGGUAAAAAAAAGAGAAGGAAAAACAAAAAAAAAAAAAAGAGGCGGGAGGGAGAGGAGGGGAGGGGAGGGGAGGGGAGGGGAGGACGCGCAGCCGGCCCCCCGCCCCGCCGUGAGGCGCCGCCGCCCGCCGCUGGGGGGCGUCAGGGCGCUUCCGAACGGCGCCGCGCUACGCCGCCGUCACCGCGGCAACGCCGGAGGCCACGCCCCCCGCCAGGAGACCACGCCCCCUCCGCGCCGCGAGGCCCCGCCCCCUGGCGAGGCCCCGCCCCCGGGAGCCGCUCACCUGCGGAGCCCCCGCGGGCGCGGAAGGGGGGGGGGGGGGGAGGGGGGGGGGGGGGGGGCGCGGAGUUUGGGGACGGGGUCUGGGGGUUUUGGGGGUGCUUCGGCGCCGAAAUGGUUACCCGGGAUUGCGCAGGAGCCGCCCCGGCGUGCCCGUAAUUCAAUUAGUCAGGUUUCGGGAGGGUGGGGCCGGGCGGCUUGGGUUUCUUUUAUUUAUUUAUUUAUUUUAUUUUUUUUAUUUUUUUUUUAUUUUUUGGCACGGAGGAGGGAGGAGAAGCCUGCGACGCCUCCUCUCCCCCCCCCCCCCCCCCCCCCCCCCCCCCCCCUUCCUCCUCCUCCUCCUCCUGCUCUCCCGCUCCUCCUCCUUCUCCUCUCUCUCCCGUGCGGCAAGCCAAUCGGGUCGAGGUGUAAAAAAAAAAAAAAAAAAAAAAAAAUUAAAAAAAAAAAAAAAAAAAGAUCGGUCCGUAAGCAAACAGCAGGCUGCUCGGUGAGUGGCUGCGGCGGCGGGUGCCCCCCUUCCCCGGCACGCCGCAUGCAGAAGCCCCACAUGAUCGCGCCGCGAGCUGCCCGCCUGCGCCUCCUCCUCCUCCUCCUCCUCCUCCUCCUCCUCCUCUUCCUCGCCUUCAUCCCCGGCGCCCGCCGCCACAUCCCGCCUCGGACCCACGCGUGUGCAUAAGUUGAUGCUCCCGGGACUGGACCCUGCUUUAUCACAGAGGCGCUCCGGGAGGCUGAAGCAGGAGAUUUCCGCACCUCGCCGCACCGCUCCGUCCCUCCCCCGGGCUGGGGAGGCCAACCAGGACCGGCAUCACCAGAGGAGUUUGCAGGCUUGAUUUUCCACUUCUCCGAG